UAGCAACUUUAUUCUCGCUGCUAUGCUGUCAUUCAGGACGGGCCAAAAAAUAGGUCCAGCGGUGCCAUUAUUUUAGUUUAGUUUAUUAGGCGCUCUUGGAUUGAAAUAGUGACCGGAAGUGAUGCGCACGCUCCUAAACGAGCUUGAUGCGAAGCCACAAGCGUUAACGACAGAAACAAACAAUCGGGUAGUAAAUGAAAUGACAUUAUUCGCAAGUUCUGGAACCAAUUGGACGCAUGUUCUUCAACGAAUCGACCACCGCGUUCAGAUUUGUUCUGUGUUGUGGUGAAGGCCAGGGGAGAGGUGGCUGUGCAGGGUGCCCGGCUGCAAGCAGCCCCCUCAAUGGUCUCUCCCACCAUCAAGGCGUUGGUGGAUGCGGUGUGGGCGGUGUGGAGCAUUGGGGCCUCCAUCUAUGACUACAUCCAUACCAGUGCCAUGGAGGAGCGCAUACACGCCCUGGAGAAGGUCAUCAGCGUCCACCAGUUUGCCAUCGGGCUACUGUUGGCGGCCAUGUUGGUGCUCUUCACUUACAUCUUCGUCAAGAAGGUUUGAGAGUCAAGCAGACUGAGGGGAUUCCAAUUGUGUAGAAAGGUGAAAUUGUAAUAAUCUCACGUUUGGGAGCAAAUAAGAUGCUGAGUAGAUUGAUUCUUCAUUGGAUAUUGCUUUGAUAUCUUAUUACUGCUAAAGAUACAUAACUUGCUAAUUCUAUCAUUUCAAAAGGGAUCAGUAUUGAAAUACAUUGUUGCCAUUUUGUCUGCCUUGUUUGUUUUUUUGCUAACUUUGUAUAAUAUUUUUUCUGAGAUUUUUUGCUAACUUUACCUUUGAAUGAGUCUGAUGGGUUUAGAAACCAGAAUGAUUCCGCCCACCUGAUGACAUUCAUUUCUGGAUUGAAUCAAUUAAAAUUGGAUUUACCAAAAUGUGUAAGUAUGACUUGGACUGACAUUGGAAUUCAAAGAUGCUAUUCCAAAACAAAUUUAAUAAUUUUAUUUGAAGUGUGUCUAAACAGGAAAUUACACCGACAUAAAUUUGCCACAUAACUUUAAUACAAGGCGUAAUUGCAACUGGAAACAUCUCCCUCUAAAUCUCUGGAAAACAUUUGGAAUCUGGUCAGCAGAUUUGGUAAAACAUGGUGAAACCAAGCCAUCUGUCCAAUGACGACUGUGGAAAACCAACCAAAAUCUUCAUAAGCUCCCUCAGGCUGAGCAACUCCUGAUUAAAGAACACGCAACCUCUGCUUUUUCAAAU